rnacentral:rRNA from 1 species
UACGUAGGGCGCAAGCGUUGUCCGGAAUUAUUGGGCGUAAAGAGCUCGUAGGUGGUUUGUUACGUCUGCUGUGAAAUCCUAGGGCUUAACCCUGGGCUUGCAGUGGAUACGGGCAGACUAGAGGUAGGUAGGGGAGAAUGGAAUUCCUGGUGUAGCGGUGAAAUGCGCAGAUAUCAGGAGGAACACCGGUGGCGAAGGCGGUUCUCUGGGCCUUACCUGACACUGAGGAGCGAAAGCGUGGGGAGCGAACAGG